rnacentral:lncRNA from 1 species
GAGCUGGUGGUGGUAUUGGGUGAUGGUGGUCCUUGUGGCUAUGUAAUAGCUAGUGAUCAUAGUAGUCGACAAUAGUGGCUAAUGGUGGUGGCAAUUGAUGCCGGCUAUUGAUCCAAAUGUGUUAAACUUAAUACAUAUUUAGAAUUUCAAGACAAGAACUACAAUUGAUAGUGUAUGAGCUUCAAAAACAGCCUUCAAUAACCUGUAGCUCCAAUGUUCCUUCUACUACAACCAGCACGCUAAACCUACAUAAGGGGCUCGAGCAAAAAAGUGCGGAGAAAGAUCAACGUAGAACUAAUAACUGCAGUUCUCCCGUGGAGAACCAUGGAUCAAUACCCGGUUCUAUAUGAAGUUGACGCUGCUGCAUCUUCAUCAAUAGUCCAAAUGGAAUCAGUCAUGUCGAACCUCCGUCCUGCCACUGUCCUGUAUAUGAAGAGUAUCUCGACUGGGAAACUUUCUGGUCUCGUGUCCAGGUGACCCUAACCCUCGGCAACUUCUGACCUAGCAGCAAACAUCGUCUCCAGCUUUGCAGCUUUGACCAACAGCCUUGUCGCUGAAGGAGCAGUCUCCGAUCUCCAAGGAGAGGACGUUAUGGAGGCCUAGAUAUAUGAAGAGCAUGGUCCCUGAUGUAAUAUAACAUACGAUCUGUAAGGAGGCCAGAAAGGGAAAGCUGUCGCAAUCCCUUUCAGUGAUGGAUUUGUCAUGAUAAAUAAGGUUCUAAUUUGUCAUGAUGAAUAAGGUCCUUGGGCAUAUCAGUGAGAACAAUUAAUAGGAAUUCUAUCACGAGAUGAAUGUUUCAAGUCCCUGAAGUGCUUUCACUAACAACAGUUACCAUGUGCUCUUGCAGAUGAAUCAGAUACUCUCUAAGAAUGUCCAGUUCUCCCGUGGAGAACCAUGGAUCAAUACCCGGUUCUAUAUGAAGUUGACGCUGCUGCAUCUUCAUCAAUAGUCCAAAUGGAAUCAGUCAUGUCGCACCUCCGUCCUGCCACUGUCCUGUAUAUGCAGAGUCUCUCGAC